AUUGAACGCUGGCGGCAGGCCUAACACAUGCAAGUCGAGCGGAUGAAGGGAGCUUGCUCCUGGAUUCAGCGGCGGACGGGUGAGUAAUGCCUAGGAAUCUGCCUGGUAGUGGGGGAUAACGUCCGGAAACGGGCGCUAAUACCGCAUACGUCCUGAGGGAGAAAGUGGGGGAUCUUCGGACCUCACGCUAUCAGAUGAGCCUAGGUCGGAUUAGCUAGUUGGUGGGGUAAAGGCCUACCAAGGCGACGAUCCGUAACUGGUCUGAGAGGAUGAUCAGUCACACUGGAACUGAGACACGGUCCAGACUCCUACGGGAGGCAGCAGUGGGGAAUAUUGGACAAUGGGCGAAAGCCUGAUCCAGCCGUGCGGCGGGGGGGGGGGGGGGGUUCGGAUUGUAAAGCACUUUAAGUUGGGAGGAAGGGCAGUAAGUUAAUACCUUGCUGUUUUGACGUUACCAACAGAAUAAGCACCGGCUAACUUCGUG
rnacentral:rRNA from 1 species